rnacentral:rRNA from 1 species
GAUGAACGCUGGCGGCGUGCCUAAUACAUGCAAGUCGAGCGGACAGACGAGGAGCUUGCUCCUCUGACGGUAGCGGCGGACGGAGGAGUAAGAGGUGGAUAACCUACCUAUAAGACUGGGAUAACUUCGGGAAACCGGAGCUAAUAGCGGAUAAUAUAUUGAACCGCGUGGGGCAAUGGUGAAAGACGGUGUUGCUGUUAGUUAUAGAGGGAUCCGCGCCGCAUUAGCUAGUUGGUAAGGUAACGGCUUACCAAGGCAACGAUGCGUAGCCGACCUCAGAGGGUGAUCGGCCACACUGGAACUGAGACACGGUCCAGACUCCUACGGUAGGCAGCAGUCGGGAAUCGUCCGCAGUGGGCGAAAGCCUUACGGAGCAACGCCGCGUGAGUGAUGAAGGUCUUCGGAUCGUAAAACUCUGUUAUUAGUGAAGAACAAAUGUGUAAGUAACUAUGCACGUCUUGACGGUACCUAAUCAGAAAGCCACGGCUAACUACGUG